ACCCUUGUCUUUUGCGCACUUGUUGUUUCCUGGGCGGGUUCGCCCGCCACCAGGACCACAUGAUAAACCUUUUUUAUGCAGUUGCAAUCAGCGUCAGUACAACAAAUGUAAAUCAUUUACAACUUUCAACAACGGAUCUCUUGGUUCUGGCAUCGAUGAAGAACGCAGCGAAAUGCGAUACGUAGUGUGAAUUGCAGAAUUCAGUGAAUCAUCGAAUCUUUGAACGCACAUUGCGCCCUUUGGUAUUCCAAAGGGCAUGCCUGUUCGAGCGUCAUUUGUACCCUCAAGCUUUGCUUGGUGUUGGGCGUUUUGUCUUUGGUUGCCAAAGACUCGCCUUAAAACGAUUGGCAGCCGGCCUACUGGUUUCGCAGCGCAGCACAUUUUUGCGCUUGCAAUCAGCAAAAGAGGACGGCACUCCAUCAAGACUCUUUAUCACUUUUGACCUCGGAUCAGGUAG
rnacentral:rRNA from 1 species